CGUAGAACGUACUUCUUCAAUAUAAUUAUUAUAUUCCCUAUCGUCGCUAUCUUAUUGGAGUUAGCCAUUAUAUAGAGAGCAAUCCUCACACUCCACGAUCAUACUGUGCAUAAAACUGAGAGUAAAAAAUGUGAGAGGAAAAGAAGGGAAAGGUUUUGGACGCAACUUGGAGUGGCACCAUUAACACUUGGAUAGGGUGGGAGUAAAUGGUGCCACGCUGAGUGCGUCUAAAAUACUUGCCCUUUGAAUAAAGAAGGAAUUGGGAUUUCCAUAUUCAAGGGAAUUUGGGGAAGGACAUGGCAUUUCCAAGAAUUGGAAGUGGAAAAGAUCGAUUGAUUUUGUGGAAGUUGAUCGAGCUAAUAAAAGCUUCAGCUGGGUUUUUCGCUUUUCCCACUAGUAAGUGAUAAACGAGUACCAAUGGCACAUUCAUAGACUUGGAACAAUCCAGGCACAGUGUGGAACCAGCGAUUCAAACCAGCGGAUUUAGUCAUUUGAAGUACCACUAUGCUAAUUUAUCUUGCUGUUUUGGAGAUAAAGAAAAAAAAAAAGCUGAGUUGUUUGAUUAUUGUAGUGGCAAGUAGGAGAUUUUUUAAAGUGCAGGUCAAUCCAAAUUAAUCUGAUGUUUCUGCAUGUCCAAAACCACAAAGAAGCUACGAGAAUGCAUAAAUUUUGCUGAGCUCGUAGCUUCCAGAUGGAGCAACUUCCAAAACAAACCGAUAAGAAUAACAGUGGCUUUCGGCUUCGCUAUGUAAUUCCCUUAUAAUAUUCAACUGUUUUUUACAUGUACAUGCAAGUCUUUCCCGAUAUAACUUGACGAGCUUCUCUUUAUUAU